GACGAACGCUGGCGGCGUGCCUAAUACAUGCAAGUAGGACGCAGUUGCGAACGGGUGAGUAAUGCGUAGGUUACUGCCUAUUAGAGGGGGAUAACUAUUGGAAACGAUAGCCAAUACCGCAUACUAGUCGAUGGAGCUUCGUUGUAUUAGCUAGUUGGUAGGGUAAAGGCCUACCUAGGCGACGUUACAUAGCCGACCUGAGAGGGUGAUCGGCCACACUUGGACUUAGACACGGCCCAGACUCCUACGGGAGGCAGCAGUAGGGAAUCUUCGGCAAUGGGGGGAACUCUGACCGAGCAACGCCGCGUGAGUGAAGAAGGGUUUCGGAUCGUAAAGCUCUGUUGUUAAGGAAGCGGUACUUAACCAGAAAGGGACGGCUAACUACGUGCCAGCAGCCGCGGUAAUUC
rnacentral:rRNA from 1 species